rnacentral:rRNA from 1 species
AUUGAACGCUGGCGGCAGGCUUAACACAUGCAAGUCGAGCGGAGUGAUGGUGCUUGCACUAUCACUUAGCGGCGGACGGGUGAGUAAUGCUUAGGUAUCUGCCUAUUAGUGGGGGACAACAUCUCGAAAGGGAUGCUAAUACCGCAUACGUCCUACGGGAGAAAGCAGGGGAUCACUUGUGACCUUGCGCUAAUAGAUGAGCGUAAGUCGGAUUAGCUAGUUGGUGGGGUAAAGGCCUACCAAGGCGACGAUCUGUAGCGGGUCUGAGAGGAUGAUCCGCCACACUGGGACUGAGACACGGCCCAGACUCCUACGGGAGGCAGCAGUGGGGAAUAUUGGACAAUGGGGGGAACCCUGAUCCAGCCAUGCCGCGUGUGUGAAGAAGGCCUUAUGGUUGUAAAGCACUUUAAGCGAGGAGGAGGCUCUUUUGGUUAAUACCCAAGAUGAGUGGACGUUACUCGCAGAAUAAGCACCGGCUAACUCUGUGCCAGCCGCCGCGGUAA